UACGUAGGGGGCAAGCGUUGUCCGGAUUUACUGGGCGUAAAGAGCGUGUAGGCGGCCAGACAGGUCUGUUGAAAACUGGAGGCUUAACCUCCAGACGUCGACAGAAACCGUCUGGCUAGAGUCCGGAAGAGGAGAGUGGAAUUCCUGGUGUAGCGGUGAAAUGCGCAGAUAUCAGGAGGAACACCGGUGGCGAAGGCGGGUCUCUGGGCCGAUACUGACGCUGAGGAGCGAAAGCGUGGGGAGCGAACAGG
rnacentral:rRNA from 1 species